rnacentral:rRNA from 1 species
AUACGGAGGAUCCGAGCGUUAUCCGGAUUUAUUGGGUUUAAAGGGAGCGUAGGUGGAUUGUUAAGUCAGUUGUGAAAGUUUGCGGCUCAACCGUAAAAUUGCAGUUGAAACUGGCAGUCUUGAGUACAGUAGAGGAGGGCGGAAUUCGUGGUGUAGCGGUGAAAUGCUUAGAUAUCACGAAGAACUCCGAUUGCGAAGGCAGCUCACUAGACUGUUACUGACACUGAUGCUCGAAAGUGUGGGUAUCAAACAGGAUUAGAUACCCUGGUAGUCCACACAGUAAACGAUGAAUACUCGCUGUUUGCGAUAUACAGUAAGCGGCCAAGCGAAAGCAUUAAGUAUUCCACCUGGGGAGUACGCCGGCAACGGUGAAACUCAAAUGAAUUGACGGGG